CCUACGGGAGGCAGCAGUGGGGAAUAUUGCACAAUGGGGGAAACCCUGAUGCAGCGACGCCGCGUGAGUGAAGCAGUAUUUCGGUACGUAAAGCUCUAUCAGCAGGGAAGAAAAUGACGGUACCUGACUAAGAAGCACCGGCUAACUACGUGCCAGCAGCCGCGGUAAUACGUAGGGGGCAAGCGUUAUCCGGAUUUAUUGGGUGUAAAGGGAGCGUAGACGGCAGCGCAAGUCUGGAGUGAAAGCCCAUGGCUUAACCAUGGAACUGCUUUGGAAACUGUGCAGCUAGAGUGCAGGAGAGGUAAGCGGAAUUCCUAGUGUAGCGGUGAAAUGCGUAGAUAUUAGGAGGAACACCAGUGGCGAAAGCGGCUUACUGGACUGUAACUGACGUUGAGGCUCGAAAGCGUGGGGAGCAAACAGGAUUAGAUACCCUUGUAGUC
rnacentral:rRNA from 1 species